CUUCAGCGAGCCGAGCAGCAGGGGACGCGCACGCUCCUGCCCGUACGUCGCCAGCAGUGCCCGCGCCUC
rnacentral:antisense_RNA from 1 species